GGGCCGGUGGCGAAAUCUGGUAUCGUGUUCCCUUGGCUAGGGAAAGACUCCGGGAAAUUGCAAGUAAAAACUUGUGAUUCGGAAAUUCAAAUCCCGGCCGGUCCA
rnacentral:tRNA from 1 species